CCUACGGGAGGCAGCAGUGAGGAAUAUUGGUCAAUGGGCGCGAGCCUGAACCAGCCAAGUCGCGUGAGGGAAGACGGUCCUAUGGAUUGUAAACCUCUUUUGUCGGGGAGCAAAAGACGCCACGCGUGGCGUUCCGUGAGUACCCGAAGAAAAAGCAUCGGCUAACUCCGUGCCAGCAGCCGCGGUAAUACGGAGGAUCCGAGGGUUAUCCGGAUUUAUUGGGUUAAAAGGGGGCGAAGGCGGAAGAUCAAGUCGGCGGUAAAAUUGAGGGGCUAAACCUUUUAGAGCCGUUGAAACUGGUUUUCUUGAGUGAAUGAGAAGUAGGCGGAAUGCGUGGUGUAGCGGUGAAAUGCAUAGAUAUCACGAAGAACUCCGAUUGCGAAGGCAGCAUACCGGCGCUCAACUGACGCUCAUGCACGAAAGUGUGGGUAUCGAACAGGAUUAGAUACCCCUGUAGUC
rnacentral:rRNA from 1 species